rnacentral:rRNA from 1 species
GUGCUGCAUGGCUGUCGUCAGCUCGUGUUGUGAAAUGUUGGGUUAAGUCCCGCAACGAGCGCAACCCUUAUCCUUUGUUGCCAGCGAUUCGGUCGGGAACUCAAAGGAGACUGCCGGUGAUAAACCGGAGGAAGGUGGGGAUGACGUCAAGUCAUCAUGGCCCUUACGAGUAGGGCUACACACGUGCUACAAUGGCGUAUACAAAGAGAAGCGACCUCGCGAGAGCAAGCGGAACUCAUAAAGUACGUCGUAGUCCGGAUUGGAGUCUGCAACUCGACUCCAUGAAGUCGGAAUCGCUAGUAAUCGUAGAUCAGAAUGCUACGGUGAAUACGUUCCCGGGCCUUGUACACACCGCCCGUCACACCAUGGGAGUGGGUUGCAAAAGAAGUAGGUAGCUUAACCUUCGGGAGGGCGCUUACCACUUUGUGAUUCAUGACUGGGGUGAAGUCGUAACAAGGUAACCGUAGGGGAACCUGCGGUUGGAUCACCUCCUUA